rnacentral:lncRNA from 1 species
UUUUGUAUUAUGUAUAAUCUAUUUUAAAGGGGUUAAAAAGACGAACGAUAUUUUGCUAAGAGCCUCAUGCUUUUAAUAUAGUAUAUAUAUAAUUCACUUAAUUAAGAGGCAUUUGAUUCAUUUUAUUUUAAAAGACAAAAAUGUGGAAGUAGGCAACUAGGCAUUAUGAGGAACAACGCGGAUACUUAUAGCUUGUUUGGCCAAGUUUCUAAAGUCAGUUUAAGUUUUUUUCUCAAAAAUACUUUUCAAAAAAUAUACUUUUGGUAAGAAGCAGUUUGUGUUUGGC